AGCCUCUUCAAAAAACAAAAGAGUGAAGCCAAGAUCAGAAAAUGUUGUACCUCCUCUUGCUCUUGGGGCCUAGUGCUGGUCUUGGGGUGCUCAUCACUCAGAAGCCGAGCAGAGGAAUCUGGAGGAGUGGAGCCUCAGUGAAAAUUCAUUGUGAACAGGGAGGUCAACUCUCUACCAUCUGGUACCUCCAGCUUCAGCAGCAGGGCUUGGAACUUAUUGGGACUGUCAACCAGGGCUACCCAGCCACCCACGAGAAGGGAUUUAAUGAGACCAAGUUCCCUAUUACUCGAGCAGAUUUAAAAUCCUCCACUCUGACAAUGACUGUUGUGAGUCCUGGAGAUAAUGGCAUCUAUUUCUGUAGUGCGAGUGACACAGUGAGAGAAGUGGAUCGAAGUCUGCAACAAGAACCUUUGCUUUUUCUCUCCUAG